rnacentral:rRNA from 1 species
UACGUAGGCAGCAAGCGUUAUUCGGAUUCACUGGGCGUAAAGGGUGCGCAGGCGGCCAAGUGUGUGAGGCGUGAAAGCCUGGAGCUUAACUCCAGAAUUGCACCUCAAACUACUCGGCUAGAGCAUUGGAGAGGGUAGCAGAAUUCAUGGUGUAGCAGUGAAAUGCGUAGAUAUCUGGAGGAAUACCGGUGGCGAAGGCGGCAUCCUGGACCGACAUUGACGCUGAUGAGCGAAAGCUAGGGGAGCAAACGGG